GAGUUUGAUCAUGGCUCAGGACGAACGCUGGCGGCGUGCUUAACACAUGCAAGCCAUGGGGGUUCGGGGGCAACCCUGGAUAACCGGCGAACGGGUGCGUAACACGUGAGCAACCUGCCUGGGUGUGGGGGAUAGCCGGGCUAACGCCCGGGUAAUACCGCAUACGGUCGUUUGGGGGAGUCCCUGGGCGACGAAACCCGAGAGGGGCACCGAGAGGGGCUCGCGGCCUAUCAGCUAGUUGGUGAGGUAAUGGCUCACCAAGGCGGCGACGGGUAGCUGGUCUGAGAGGAUGGCCAGCCACAUUGGGACUGAGAUACGGCCCAGACUCCUACGGGAGGCAGCAGUGGGGAAUAUUGCGCAAUGGCCUAACGGCUGACGCAGCGACGCCGCGUGUGG
rnacentral:rRNA from 1 species